rnacentral:lncRNA from 1 species
GUUUGGUCCUCGGCUCCUGUGGGAUGUUGCUGCCUCCGCGAGCAGGUCGAUACCAACAGUGGCAGAGCCGGCAGCGCGGGGAGGCCUGCACACGUUCCUGCACCCUGGCUUGGCACGAGUUCCUAGCUGGCCCUGCAGAGGUCUUGGUUGGAGGGGUUCAGAAUAGAGCGGCCCCACCCCGGCCCCCUGAGCCGAGGGAGGCAGCCCCCGGGUCACCAGGAACCGCCCGGUCCCUCCUCUCCUGGACCAAGCCUCCCAGGUCGCUGGGCGUGCGGGGCUGUCCCCAGUGCUGACUCGAGGACCAGAGCCAAGGCCGUGGGACGGUCUGACGUGCUCCUACGCUGUCAGUCCUGGCUGAGGUCCGGGUUCAGGUGGGGGAGCUGCUCCGAGCACCCCAUUUCUCAUCACACCCGCCCCCUGCUGCUGGACAGCGGCCCAGAUCUGCGGCCGCCUCUGCCCAGUGUCCCCACUGGCACCUCCGGCCCAGGUGCAACCAGCAGGGGGUGCUCUUCUCCUGGGGUUUAUUGCCCAUUUCCCUUCCUGUAGGACUCCAAAAGUUUCCAAAAGGCUGAAAGCCAAGGAUCCAGUUCUGAAAUCCCAGCUGAGCCGCCCCCUCCGAAGGAGCUGGAAAACCCCAAGCACAUGUGGCCUUGCAGCUGCUGCUUUAUGCCUCGGGCAUCCCAGCCCACAGAGCUGUCCACACCGUGUCCCCGGGCCGGGAGGACCGCCUAGAGAAAUGCUGAGCUGGGAGGAGGUCCUUCUGGCCCUCCAACCCCAACACUCCUGUGAGCAGCUGCUAGAACUUGUCGCCUGGAGCCCCUACAAGCACCUGCGAAGGUCAGCGCUGGUACCGUUUUGUUUUUUGGUUUUUUUUCCUCUAAGCGUGGAGCCCAGCGCAGGGCUUGAACUCACGACCCUGAGAUCAAGACUUGCACUGAGAUCAAGAAUCAGAUGCUUAACCAGCUGAACCACCCAGGUGCCCCUGGUACAGCUUUUUAAUAACCACGUUCUAGAAAGGAGAGAUGCUGUCCUUCCGUGACAGAUGAGGAAACUGAGGCUCCAAGAGCACAAAGUCCCACAGCCGAUGAAGUGGUGGACCCGGGGCCAGGGGACACCAGGUCUGGGGCCCCUCCACCAUUCCAGAUGCCGGGGCACCGGCCUGGCAGGAGAGUGAGAGCCACCUCCCCUGCUCUGGACCAGGCCACAGACUUGAGAGAGAGGCUGCCGGGCGCCCCAGCCUCCGGGACUCGCCGAAGUCAGAGCCACUGCCUCGCAGGGGAGGCCAGGAAGCCACAGGCAGGAAUGGCUCCACAGUCUGCAGGG